rnacentral:rRNA from 1 species
GAGUGAACGCUGGCGGCAGGCCUAACACAUGCAAGUCGAACGGCAGCACAGAGGAGCUUGCUCCUUGGGUGGCGAGUGGCGGACGGGUGAGGAAUACAUCGGAAUCUGCCCAGGUCGUGGGGGAUAACAUAGGGAAACUUAUGCUAAUACCGCAUACGACCUACGGGUGAAAGCGGGGGAUCGCAAGACCUCGCGCGAUUGGAUGAGCCGAUGUCCGAUUAGCUAGUUGGCGGGGUAAUGGGCCCACCAAGGCGACGAUCGGUAGCUGGUCUGAGAGGAUGAUCAGCCACACUGGAACUGAGACACGGUCCAGACUCCUACGGGAGGCAGCAGUGGGGAAUAUUGGACAAUGGGCGCAAGCCUGAUCCAGCCAUGCCGCGUGGGUGAAGAAGGCCUUCGGGUUGUAAAGCCCUUUGUCCGGAAAGAAAAGCUCGAGGUUAAUACCUUCGGGUUCUGACGGUACCGGAAGAAUAAGCACCGGCUAACUUCGUG